rnacentral:lncRNA from 1 species
UUUCUCUGUGUACUCUCUUCUAGAACUUUGUAGACCAGGCUGGCCUCAAACUCACAGAGAUCCACCUGCCUCUGCCUCCCUAGUGCUGGGAUUAAAGGCUUUCACCACCACCGCCCGGCAACCCUUUAAUACCUCUUACAUUAGCCUUACUUUGUGCAGAUGGUGUUACAUGUAGCCAAUCUAGGGAUUGGCUUCUCGUGGAAGAGGCAGGCUCACCCUAAACUCCUGAUCCCCUCCACCCCUUUUUUCCCUGUCUAGUUCUCUUACUUCAGCACUCAGGACCAAACCCAGAGCCUUGUGUUGGUUUUGCUGUGAUCUGCUACUGAGCUAAAGCCCCACACCCUUGUUUCUCUUAGUAGGUGUUAUCUAUACUCUUGGGCAGAGGCUGGGCAGAUGGAAGAACCCAACAGCACUCUAGGAAACAGAAGCCCAAGAAGAACACAGUCCUUUAAUGUCACCCACUCAAAAGACAGCAUGCCAGCUGUCUAUACUCUUGGAUCUGGUUUGGUGGCACACACCUUCAACCCCAGUACUCUGGAGGCAGGGAGAAGAGGCAAUCUGUGAAUUUGAGGGCAACCUGGUUGUGUAGUGAGUUCCAGGCCAGCCAGGGUAGGAAUACACAAUGAGAAGAUGUCUCUAAAGAAAAAUAAAAGGUUGCUGGGCAGUGGUGGUGCACACCUUUAGUCCCAGCACUUGGGAAACAGAGGCAAGUCUGUGAGUUUGAGGCCAGCCUGGUCUACACAGUGAGUUCCAGGACUGUUACACAGAGAAACCCUGUUUCCAAAAACAAACAAAAAAGAAGCAAAGCCCCUAUUAUGCCUGAAGCCACUUCAGGAAGGUGAAGAUUCAUUUUUAUCUACCACCCCAGGCCCUGCCAAAUGAAUAUGUAUCUCUGAGACGUGGUCAAAGAACAAAAAGUAAUAUGUAGAGAUCAGAGUGUUAGAUCUUAUUAAGCUCACUUAUGGGAGAAUGUGUGGGGUCUUGACCUCUCAAAGCCAUGACUUGUAAUUAAAAAUAGACGGAACUUUAUGAUUUAGAGGUUGAAAAGAGAACUGCUUGGCAGACGAAGGAAAGGUAGCAUAGGGCAGUGGUCACAGUAGCACAGCCAACAAACAAGGAAAGCGUGAUUAAUCGAUGAGUAAGAAUAGCAAGUUUUACAGAGAUUUAACAAAUGUCAAGGAAAUAGGAUUUCUGAAUGAAGGGUUUUAUAGACACCAACAGCCCGUGCAACCCUGGAGAUAGCAUGUGGGGGUGACUUGCACAUGACUCAGUUCCCAUGAUGGAAAUUUACUCAGCUUUAAGAGACUGCUUGCUGUAGGCAGACAUUUAGCAAACAGCACUUGCAGGCUGGUGAGGACACUGUCAUGCUGAGCAGUCAACAGUGAGUCACAGCUCUCACUUGGCCACAAGAAGACCACGAGGGUAAACGAAAGACAGCACUGGAGCCAUCAGCGCGGGCAAGCUUUCUGAAAGGGCUCACCUCCUCCGGACAAGAUGAGCCGGUUUGCUGCUCUCCGCGGGCAGGUGCUGCUCGGCUCGCCAGCUCCGUGUUAAUUUGAGCCCGCCGAGGGACCUUUGAUCAGCGCGCUCCCUCGCAGCCCGCAGGCUUCCCGAGCUGGCUCCGGCGACUUCAAAAGAGCUGUAAAGCGGACUGCAAUCUCGGCCUUCCUGUUUCUGCGCCUGCCCCCUGGGUGCUUACAACAAC